ensembl:antisense Gm15848 predicted gene 15848
UUUUCUGAGAUCAGCAAACAACUCUCCUCUCCUCCUUCCUAAACCACCCCCUUCCCGCUCACCCCCCCCAACCCCCGCCCAUGCUACGCUGUGGAGAAGGAGGAAGUUUUGAGUAGGCAUCCAAAGUCAACAGGGCGCAGUGAGAAGCACUUAUACUGAGUGACCUGGGAUACAUAGACACCCUUAUGGAUCCUUGACAUCUGUGCUCCAUUGCUCCAAAAGCCAGCAGGAGUCUCAAGGGGAGAAACACGAAACCUCAUGAAACUCUAUGCAGGAAAACACCUGACCAGAAGACAAGGUUAUUGUCAGGUCCAGAGGAAACCCCACUUCCCCAAAUUCCAAAAGGCAGCACCCAGAAAUGACCGUCUUGACUCAGGGUCUGCUGAAGUAUAGGAUUACUGAAGGAUACUGCCAGCGUUCCUGAGGAACCCAUGAAAGAGUUUCUGUCCACCAGAAAGAGGGCCAGAUAUCGAUCUCCUGCA